rnacentral:rRNA from 1 species
AAAUUAUUUCAAUUUUCUUUCACAAUACUAUUACACUAUAAUUAAAAUUAUUUUUUCUUUAUUAAAUACUAAAACAAAUCUUUAUAUAAUUAUUUUUAAUAAUUUAAAAUUUUAAAAAAUAUAAAUUAAUAAAUAAAAUAUAAUCAAUUUAUAUUGAUUUGCACAAAAAUCUUUUCAAUGUAAAUGAAAUGCUUUACUGAAUAAGCUUUAAAUUGCAUUCUAGGUACACUUUCCAGUACAUCUACUAUGUUACGACUUAUCUUACCUUAAUAGUAAGAGUGACGGGCGAUGUGUGCAUAUUUUAGAGCUAAAAUCAAAUUAUUAAUCUUUAUAAUUUUACUAUCAAAUCCACCUUCAAUAAAUAUUUCAAAUUUAUAUUCGUAUAAAUAAAUUUAUUGUAACCCAUUUCUACUUAAAUAUAAGCUACACCUUGAUCUGAUAUAUUUUCUUUUUAAAAAUUAUGAAAAUUAACAUUCUUAUAAAAUAUUCUAAUAACGACGGUAUAUAAACUGAUUACAAACUUAAGUAAGGUCCAUCGUGGAUUAUCGAUUAUAGAACAGGUUCCUCUGAAUAGACUAAAAUACCGCCAAAUUUUUUAAGUUUCAAGAACAUAACUA